rnacentral:rRNA from 1 species
AUUGAACGCUGGCGGCAGGCCUAACACAUGCAAGUCGAACGGUAACAGGAAGCAGCUUGCUGCUUUGCUGACGAGUGGCGGACGGGUGAGUAAUGUCUGGGAAACUGCCUGAUGGAGGGGGAUAACUACUGGAAACGGUAGCUAAUACCGCAUAACGUCGCAAGACCAAAGAGGGGGACCUUCGGGCCUCUUGCCAUCGGAUGUGCCCAGAUGGGAUUAGCUAGUAGGUGGGGUAACGGCUCACCUAGGCGACGAUCCCUAGCUGGUCUGAGAGGAUGACCAGCCACACUGGAACUGAGACACGGUCCAGACUCCUACGGGAGGCAGCAGUGGGGAAUAUUGCACAAUGGGCGCAAGCCUGAUGCAGCCAUGCCGCGUGUAUGAAGAAGGCCUUCGGGUUGUAAAGUACUUUCAGCGGGGAGGAAGGGAGUAAAGUUAAUACCUUUGCUCAUUG